rnacentral:rRNA from 10 species
AUCUAUAGCCAUACCACCCUGAAAGUGCCUGAUCUUGUUUGAUCUCAAAAGCUAAGCAAGAUCUGACCUGAUUAGUAUUGGAUGGGAUUUAGGGAGCUGAGUGA